rnacentral:rRNA from 1 species
AGUGAACGCUGGCGGUAGGCCUAACACAUGCAAGUCGAACGGCAGCACAGUAAGAGCUUGCUCUUACGGGUGGCGAGUGGCGGACGGGUGAGGAAUACAUCGGAAUCUACUUUUUCGUGGGGGAUAACGUAGGGAAACUUACGCUAAUACCGCAUACGACCUACGGGUGAAAGCAGGGGAUCUUCGGACCUUGCGCGAUUGAAUGAGCCGAUGUCGGAUUAGCUAGUUGGCGGGGUAAAGGCCCACCAAGGCGACGAUCCGUAGCUGGUCUGAGAGGAUGAUCAGCCACCCUGGAACGGAGCCACGGUCCAGACUCCUAAGGGAGGCAGCAGUGGGGAAUAUUGGACAAUGGGCGCAAGCCUGAUCCAGCCAUACCGCGUGGGUGAAGAAGGCCUUCGGGUUGUAAAGCCCUUUUGUUGGGAAAGAAAAGCAGCAGGUUAAUACCCCGCUGUUCUGACGGUACCCAAAGAAUAAGCACCGGCUAACUUCGUG